rnacentral:rRNA from 1 species
GUUUGAUCCUGGCUCAGGACGAACGCUGGCGGCGUGCUUAACACAUGCAAGUCGAACGGAAAGGCCCUUCGGGGUACUCGAGUGGCGAACGGGUGAGUAACACGUGGGUGAUCUGCCCUGCACUUUGGGAUAAGCCUGGGAAACUGGGUCUAAUACCGAAUAUGACCGCGCACUUCCUGGUGUGUGGUGGAAAGCUUUUGCGGUGUGGGAUGGGCCCGCGGCCUAUCAGCUUGUUGGUGGGGUAAUGGCCUACCAAGGCGACGACGGGUAGCCGGCCUGAGAGGGUGACCGGCCACACUGGGACUGAGAUACGGCCCAGACUCCUACGGGAGGCAGCAGUGGGGAAUAUUGCACAAUGGGCGCAAGCCUGAUGCAGCGACGCCGCGUGAGGGAUGACGGCCUUCGGGUUGUAAACCUCUUUCAAUAGGGACGAAGCGCAAGUGACGGUACCUAUAGAAGAAGGACCGGCCAACUACGUGCCAGCAGCCGCGGUAAUACGUAGGGUCCGAGCGUUGUCCGGAAUUACUGGGCGUAAAGAGCUCGUAGGUGGUUUGUCGCGUUGUUCGUGAAAACUCACAGCUUAACUGUGGGCGUGCGGGCGAUACGGGCAGACUAGAGUACUGCAGGGGAGACUGGAAUUCCUGGUGUAGCGGUGGAAUGCGCAGAUAUCAGGAGGAACACCGGUGGCGAAGGCGGGUCUCUGGGCAGUAACUGACGCUGAGGAGCGAAAGCGUGGGGAGCGAACAGGAUUAGAUACCCUGGUAGUCCACGCCGUAAACGGUGGGUUCUAGGUGUGGGUUUCCUUCCUUGGGAUCCGUGCCGUAGCUAACGCAUUAA